GGUUAAGCGACUAAGCGUACACGGUGGAUGCCCUGGCAGUCAGAGGCGAUGAAGGACGUGCUAAUCUGCGAUAAGCGUCGGUAAGGUGAUAUGAACCGUUAUAACCGGCGAUUUCCGAAUGGGGAAACCCAGUGUGUUUCGACACACUAUCAUUAACUGAAUCCAUAGGUUAAUGAGGCGAACCGGGGGAACUGAAACAUCUAAGUACCCCGAGGAAAAGAAAUCAACCGAGAUUCCCCCAGUAGCGGCGAGCGAACGGGGAGCAGCCCAGAGCCUGAAUCAGUGUGUGUGUUAGUGGAAGCGUCUGGAAAGGCGCGCGAUACAGGGUGACAGCCCCGUACACAAAAAUACACAUACUGUGAGCUCGAUGAGUAGG
rnacentral:rRNA from 1 species